GGAGUGCGUGAGGAGGAGGCAACUCCAAGCAGAACAGAGAAGGAUCCGAUACACAGACGUCGGAUGAACUUAUCCAAAAUCACUCAGGACCGAUGCCCCUGUUUUUCCCACGGCUUAUCGAGACCUUGCAGCGCACUGUGUGAAAUGCCUGAGCCGAGGUAAAAGGGAGUACAGGCCUUUACCAGCUGCAAGCAAUAACACAUUGAUCCACUGCAAGCUGCGACAGCCGACCUCAUGUCACUGCACGGCAGUUUCUAGAGAAGUCUGAGAGCCCUAAUACCAGGUGCUGGGCUUCCAGUACUCCGGGGAGCAGAUGGGGUUCCCCAUUAAGCCCUUGAGGGAGAAAGGGGCCCCCAUCUCCACAACGAUCU